rnacentral:rRNA from 1 species
CCUACGGGUGGCAGCAGUGAGGAAUAUUGGUCAAUGGUCGUAAGCCUGAACCAGCCAAGUAGCGUGCAGGAUGACGGCCCUACGGGUUGUAAACUGCUUUUAUGCGGGAAUAACAUGCGUUACGUGUAGGGUUUUGUAGGUACCGUAUGAAUAAGGACCGGCUAAUUCCGUGCCAGCAGCCGCGGUAAUACGGAAGGUCCGGGCGUUAUCCGGAUUUAUUGGGUUUAAAGGGAGCGUAGGCCGCAUGUCAAGCGUGCUGUGAAAUGUCCUGGCUCAACCCUGGCAUUGCAGCGCGAACUGGCGUGCUUGAGUGCGCGGAACGCAGGCGGAAUUCGUGGUGUAGCGGUGAAAUGCUUAGAUAUGACGAAGAACCCCGAUUGCGAAGGCAGCUUGCUGCAGCGGAACUGACGCUGAUGCUCGAAAGCGCGGGUAUCGAACAGGAUUAGAUACCCUGGUAGUC